GCCACCCUCGGUAGGAGUCAGGGAGAGGAGCCACCCUCGGUAGGAGUCAGGGAGAGGAGCCACCCUCGGCAGGAGUCAGGGAGAGGAGCCACCCUCGGCAGGAGUCAGGGAGAGGAGCCACUCUCGGCAGGAGUCAGGGAGAGGAGCCACCCUCGGCAGGAGUCGUGACAUGAUACAGCCGUGACCGAAUCACCCGCCACCAAAGGACCAAGCAGCGUGGUAGGGAUCAGCAGGACAAAUGGACUUGGGAGGAGAUAUUGGACGGGAAAGGACCCUGGAGGCAGGCUGGGGAGUAUCGCCGUCCUAAGGAGGAGAUCGAGGCAGCAAGAGCGGAGCGGCGAUACUACGAGGCACUAUAUCCACCAAGAGGCAAGUGCGAGAGGCACCCCCAAAAAAGAUUUUUGGGGGGGCACACGGGGAGAUUGGCAGAGUCAGGUUGGAGACCUGAGCCAACUCCCCGUGCUUACCGUGGGGAGCGAGUGACCGAGCAAGCACAGUGUUAUGCGGUGAUGCGCACUGUGUCGCCAGGGCGCACUCACAGCCUGGUGCGCUCGGUGCAAGCUCCUCACCGUUGCCGUACUAGAGUUGGCCGGCAGCCAGGAAGAAGUGCGCCGGCUCAGCGUAUCUGGUCUCCAGUGCGUCUCUUCGGCCCAGGUUAUCCUGCGCCUGCUCUACGCACGGUACCCCCCGUUCACCAGCACAGCCCAGUUCGUCCGGUGCCAGCGCUCCACCCUUGCUGGGCUCAAAUAACCAUCCAGCCAGGACGGGGUGUGCCAGCCCUAAGCUCCAGACCUCCAGUGCGCCUCUACGGCCCAGUAUACCCUGUGCCUGCUCUGCGCACCCAGUCUCCUGUGCGUCUCCCCAGUCCGGUGAGACCUGUUCCAGCUCCACGUAGGAAGCCUCCAGUGAUGAUCAAUGGUCCGAAGCCUCCACUGAUACUCCAUGGCACAAAGCCUCCAGUGAUGAUCCAUGGCGCGGAACCUGUAGCGAUGAUCCAUGGCACGGAGCCUGCAGCGACGGUCCCCAGUCCCAAACCUACAGAGACGCUCCCCAGUCCGGAGCCUCCAGCGACGCUCCCCACUCCGGAGCCUCCAGCGACGCUCCCCAGUCCGGAGCCUCCAGCGACGCUCCCCACUCCGGAGCCUCCAGCGACGCUCCCCAGUCCGGAGCCUCCAGCGACGGUCCGGCGCCUCCAGCAGCGGCCCGCAGCCCAGAACCUCCAGCGAUGAUCUACAGUCCGGUGGGACAGAAGCAGAGGGAUCAACGGAUGGAGCGGGGGUUACAC
rnacentral:lncRNA from 1 species